AGAGUUUGAUCCUGGCUCAGAAUCAACGCUGGCGGCGUGCCUAACACAUGCAAGUCGAACGGGAAAACAGGGGCAACUCUGUGAGUACAGUGGCGUACGGGUGAGUAACACGUGACUACCUACCUUUGAGUGGGGGAUAACCCCGGGAAACCGGGGCUAAUACCGCAUAACAUCGCAGGAUCAAAGGAGCAAUCCGCUUAAAGAGGGGGUCGCGGCUGAUUAGCUAGUUGGUGAGGUAACGGCUCACCAAGGCGAUGAUCGGUAGCCGGCCUGAGAGGGCGCACGGCCACACUGGAAAUGAACACGGUCCAGACUCCUACGGGAGGCAGCAGUGGGGAUUUUGCCCAUGGGGAANCCUGACGCAGCAC
rnacentral:rRNA from 1 species